GAUACUCUCUUAGAGCAUCUC
rnacentral:snRNA from 1 species